AGAAAAGCAUCAUAAUAGCAUAUUUGUAAGAUAAUUAUUGUCGUAUAGUCAGAGCUAUAUAUACGUUUCAUAACUUUAUUUUAUAAAACCUGGAUGCCACAUUAAGAAAACCAGUCUGUGCAAUCUGGGCUUUGCUUUCAUUGUCGAACUAAAACGGAAUUAAAAACAAAAAACCUCAAGUUACUCAAAUAAGAAAGACAUUUUGCAAUAAUACCACACAAUGGAUAUACAGUUGAACAAACUUGUUUGUUCAUGGGUCAUGUUACAUUUCUUGCCAGCUGUCUGCAGCGUUUCAUUAACUAAAUUUGUCUUGUUCUAAGUCGGGCCUUUGGGCAACCCCACUGCUGCUGCUGCCAGUCAGCCAUGUUUUGAUUAUUGUGUUACAACCUGAGCAGCAGCUGUUGUCUCUAUAAGCCUGGUGUUGUUCAGCAGAACUGAAACUCUACCCUCCUAAUGCUCACAGAGACAAUCAUAAAAACUGACCUUCACCAUGUCCUGACAUGCAAAUAUAUUCUGUACAGAAAGACUCUAGCAGAGAUAAAUAACAAUGCAUCUCAAGGCUUGUUCAAUAUGUGCUGAUUAAGGGUGUUUUCACUCCUGAUAGCUCAGGAGACUGGGUUAGAUUGGGGACUGAAAUUGCAACAUUUGUCGCAUUUUGAGCUGACAAGCUUGACAUGUCACCAUAAUCCAAAGCUCUGUAGUUUUAAAGGGGCGGUAUCAUGUAAUUUUUUUUUUUUUUAAGCCCUAUGUCAAGGUAGUCUGGUUUGUUUAGGGACGUGUGAAUGUGCAAUCGAACUCUAAAGAGAACCAAAAAACUAACUUUAGUCUGCCUAAAAGCUUAUGCAUCGGUUUGGUUGAAGUGAACUCUGGUGGGUUUGAAUGCAUAGGAAUACAAGCGGACCAGAGACUGCUCCAAAAGCAGGAAGUGGACUAUAGGGACAUGGCAUUCUGGGUAAAUACAACCAAAACAAACGCAAGAAUUUAGUGCUAGCAGGGAAAAUAGCUCAUGGUCUUUAACUAAAAAUAAAAGAUAAAUCCCACAACCAUUGAAAUCUGACACGACUCCAAUUUUAUUUGCAUUUCGUGAAGACAGAAAUUGCGCUCAGUGUCUUCUUCAAACGUUUUCAUCUCAUUUCCUUCAGUAGUUGUUGGUGCAGCGCCACCACUGGAGCGGAGCUGGACAGGUUUUUCAAUUAGUUUGGAUCGUUUAAGAUACGGUGGUAGCAGCUGUUAAUCACAACCACUGGCAGCUAAUCAUAACGACCGUCAGCCCUCGGUGUAAACGCGGAUUUACAGCGAACACUUUGUACAAGGGAUGGACCUAACGAAGGUGGGCAGCAUCUUCACCGUCGCUGUGGGAUUCGUGUCACGGCCGAGUCCGUACUCCAUGUCUCUACGGAAACGGCCCAUGAUGUCCUUCAGCGUCUCGUCAGAGAAACGCAUGGAGUAAAGACCUGAUGAGUAACAAUGGAGAACACAAUGGGUAUUCCUUCUCCCUGUAAGCUUGACUUCAGUCUGCGUCGGUUUUGUGAAAAGGAGAAAAGAAUCAACAGGAUGUAAGCGUAGGAGGAGGGCGCUGAGUCCACUCACUCUCCAGAGACAGAAUCCCCCCCGCGGUGUCAUGGCUGCUUCAGGGUGACCUUCUCUGACGGUGACCUCAUUACGAGUGCUUACUCAGUAACUGCUGGCUUUAAAUCCCACAAUGCUGCCCUCAUCUCAUGACUUUAAGCACCAUAAACACGUUUUAACCACAAACACGUUUGAAGGAGAACUCGUUUGGAAAGUUUUCCAAAUAUUUGAGCCUGCACUGCAAAAACAAAAUCUUACCAAGUAUUUUUGUUCUA